rnacentral:rRNA from 1 species
UACAGAGGUCUCAAGCGUUGUUCGGAUUCAUUGGGCGUAAAGGGUGCGUAGGCGGCGCGGUAAGUCGGGUGUGAAAUCUCGGAGCUUAACUCCGAAACUGCAUUCGAUACUGCCGUGCUUGAGGACUGGAGAGGAGACUGGAAUUUACGGUGUAGCGGUGAAAUGCGUAGAUAUCGUAAGGAAGACCAGCGGCGAAGGCGAAUCUCUGGACAGUUACUGACACUGAGGCACGAAGGCCAGGGGAGCAAACGGG